GGUAGCAGCUCGGUGGUAGAGUGCGUGCUCUGUAUGUAGGAUGUCCUGGGUUCAAUUCCCCAGGUCGCCG